CGGUCCCUACGGGAGGCAGCAGUGGGGGAUAUUGCACAAUGGGGGAAACCCUGAUGCAGCGACGCCGCGUGGGCGAAGAAGUAUUUCGGUAUGUAAAGCCCUAUCAGCAGGGAAGAAGAAAUGACGGUACCUGAGUAAGAAGCACCGGCUAAAUACGUGCCAGCAGCCGCGGUAAUACGUAGGGGGCGAGCGUUGUCCGGAAUCACUGGGCGUAAAGGGCGCGUAGGCGGGAAUAUAAGUCAGAUGUGAAAGGUGGGGGCCCAACCCCUAGAGUGCAACUGAUACUGUAUAACUUGAGUGUGAGG
rnacentral:rRNA from 1 species